GUGCUCGCUUUGGCAGCACAUAUACCAAAAUUGGAACAAUACGAGAAGAUUAGCAUGGCCCCUAGGUGCAAGUGACAUACAAAUUUGUGAGGCAUUCUAUAUUUAA